rnacentral:tRNA from 1 species
GGAUUGUGGCUCAGUGGUAGAACACUUGCCUCGAAUGUGUGAGGUGCUGGGUUCGAUUCUCAGCACCA